GAUGAACGCUGGCGGCGUGCCUAAUACAUGCAAGUCGAGCGAACAGACGAGGAGCUUGCUCCUCUGACGUUAGCGGCGGACGGGUGAGUAACACGUGGAUAACCUACCUAUAAGACUGGGAUAACUUCGGGAAACCGGAGCUAAUACCGGAUAAUAUAUUGAACCGCAUGGUUCAAUAGUGAAAGACGGUUUUGCUGUCACUUAUAGAUGGAUCCGCGCCGCAUUAGCUAGUUGGUAAGGUAACGGCUUACCAAGGCAACGAUGCGUAGCCGACCUGAGAGGGUGAUCGGCCACACUGGAACUGAGACACGGUCCAGACUCCUACGGGAGGCAGCAGUAGGAAAUCUUCCGCAAUGGGCGAAAGCCUGACGGAGCAACGCCGCGUGAAUGAUGAAGGUCUUCGGAUCGUAAAACUCUGUUAUUAGGGAAGAACAAAUGUGUAAGUAACUAUGCACGUCUUGACGGUACCUAAUCAGAAAGCCACGGCUAACUACGU
rnacentral:rRNA from 1 species